CGGGCGGCCGUGACCCUGCUGGAGUCUGGGGGGGACCUCCAGCCCCCCGGGGGUCCCCUGCGCCUCCUCUGCCGCGCCUCUGGAUUUGAUUUCGGGAAAUUUGGGAUGGGAUGGAUCCGCCAGAAACCCGGGAAGGCGCUGGAAUGGGUUGCGAGCAUCAGCAGAUCCAGUGGCAAGACCACCAAAUACGCGCCAUCCGUGCGUGGCCGGUUCACCAUCAGCAGGGACAACGGGCAGAGCUCGGUGACGCUGAGCAUGAACAACCUCCAGGACGAGGAUUCCGGGGUUUAUUUCUGCGGCAAAGAUGCUGAUAGUUGUUGUUAUGGUGUUGCUGAUGGUGGAUUUUGA